UAGGAACACAACUCGAUGUCAAAAAAAAAAAAAGUGUACAAACAAGAAAAACAAAUAAGAGAAGAACAAAAUAACAUGUGACAGCGAACCGCAAUUGCAGCUUGCCGCAAGUCAAGCACCUGCUCUGCUGAUCGCGAGAGAGCAAGGGGCGAAGGGAGAGCAUGUGAGAGCGUAAAGUGCAGUGGCAAUGUCUUGUUUGGUACGCGCCAAGGGGAAUAAGCACUUCUUUAUACCCUGCACACACGACGCGAGGGUCGCAUAAUUUAUGCAAAUCAUUUUAAGUGAACCAAAAUUUAGUUUUCUCUGAAUGUUCAAGCAAAAAAUAAGUAUUUGUUUACAAACGCAAGUUAAAGAAGCGAAGAGGAGAAGAUCUUAUUUAAUCGACUCGAUUUUUGAAGCAGUAGAUAAAUAUGUUAAAGCGUGCCUGUAUGUUGCCUUAUAGCCUAAUUCCACUAUUAACAUUUCACACAUUUUUUGCGAAUGCGAAGUUUGUUGCAUGUACUUUCAUUCAUAUGACACUUACUAAUGGCAUCGCAGAAUGUGAUGUUUGUAAAUGUAACAAAUGUUGACCAUAGCGGUUGGCCUACUAAAUAUGAUGUUGCUGUAGCAAAUGUAGCAAAUGUUAAAUGCGAAAAUUGACAAUCAAAAUUAGUAUCUAUAUGAAAACGGAAUGAAGAAUUGAAUAUUGAAUUAAACAUGAUUUGUUGCAGCCCUUU